rnacentral:rRNA from 1 species
CCUACGGGUGGCAGCAGUAGGGAAUCUUCCACAAUGGGCGAAAGCCUGACGGAGCAACGCCGCGUGGGUGAAGAAGGUCUUCGGAUCGUAAACCUCUGUUGUCAGAGAAGAACGUGCGCGAGAGUAACUGUUCACGUUUCGACGGUAUCUGACCAGAAAGCACCGGCUAACUACGUGCCAGCAGCCGCGGUAAUACGGAGGUUGCAAGCGUUAUCCGGAUUUAUUGGGCGUAAAGGGAACGCAGGCGGUCUGUUAAGUCUGAUGUGAAAGCCUUCGGCUUAACCGGAGUAGUGCAUUGGAAACUGGGAGACUGGAGUGCAGAAGAGGAGAGUGGAACUCCAGGUGUAGGGGUGAAAUGCGUAGAUAUAUGGAAGAACACCAGUGGCGAAAGCGGCUAUCUGGUCUGUAACUGACGCUGAGGUGCGAAAGCGUGGGUAGCAAACAGGAUUAGAUACCCGAGUAGUC